GAUGAACGCUAGCGGCAGGCCUAACACAUGCAAGUCGAGGGGUAGAAGUUGCUUGCAACUUUGAGACCGGCGCACGGGUGCGUAACGCGUAUGCAAUCUGCCUUGUACUGAGGGAUAGCCCAGAGAAAUUUGGAUUAAUACCUCAUAGCAUUAUGAUGCGGCAUCACAUUAUAAUUAAAGUUCAAACGGUACAAGAUGAGCAUGCGUCCCAUUAGUUAGUUGGUAAGGUAACGGCUUACCAAGAAGAUGGUGGGUAGGGGUCCUGAGAGGGAGAUCCCCCACACUGGUACUGAGACACGGACCAGACUCCUACGGGAGGCAGCAGUGAGGAAUAUUGGUCAAUGGGCGCAAGCCUGAACCAGCCAUGCCGCGUGCAGGAUGACGCAUCUAUGGUGUGUAAACUGCUUUUGUACAGGAAGGAACACUCCCUCGUGAGGGAGCUUGACGGUACUGUAAGAAUAAGGAUCGGCUAACUCCGUGCCAGCCGCCGCGGUAA
rnacentral:rRNA from 1 species